rnacentral:lncRNA from 1 species
GUGACUGUGCUGUGAGCAGGGGGUUCCCUGUGGAAAGUCAAUUAUUGACAUGAGUUAUCAGUUGCUCCCGAGGCUCCCAGUAUUCCCUCUGCAAUGAUAAUGAGAGAGGUCAGGUUUCUGAGCUGACUGGUCAGAGUCUGUAAAUGUAGCCAAUCCUAGUCGGGGGUGAAGUGCCUUCCCAUCAAGAGCUUAGUGAAAGCUACCCAAGGGAAGUAGAUUUGCCUUAUGUUUACAUUGCCAAAUGUGACUUUGCCUUUUGCCACCACAUACUUAUCAAAACAAGGGGUGGGGAGUAAUUUGAUUUCUAGAAUGAUCUCUACUGUGCUCAUCUUCCUAGUUCGUUUUGUUUUGCUAUGCAUAGAGUAUCUGAAGUAAAACGUAAGAAGAGGAGACACUACGUCUGAAUGAGUUUAAAAUUCCCAUAUCCACACAGAACUCCUGUUGCUGUAUCAUCAUGUUUCAGUAUUAGCUGUGUGCAGAGCUUCGAGGGAGCAUCCUCUUGUGACUUUAACUCUCUAUUCAAUCCAUGAGCAAAGCUGGAGGAGACCAUCUUCAUGGGCUGCUCAGGCUGGAAUCCGCUCUCUUUGGGACUUGUCUCUGCUCAAGUCUAAUGUCCGUUUUCAAUCACCUUCUCUUCUUGUUUCUGAGAGCCAGACUAAAGUGAGAUUGGCAAAUGGACUUAGGAUGAAGAAGAACAGCAGCAGCAGCAGCAGCAGCAGCAGCAGCAGAUGUUAUCCUAAUGGAAAACUGGAGGUUCCUCAGGCCUGGGCCGUCCCUCCUGUGCUGGCGUGUGUGCCUCUCUGCUCCUGGUCUGCCUUGCUGACACCGCUUUGGCACCUGGAGUCAUCUAGUUUUUCUAUCAAUCAAUCAAUCAGUCUAAGACCAUGCAACUACAGAAGUCUAGCCACUACAGAAGUCAGUUGAUAGAGCAACUACACCACUCCUGGGCAUUUACCCAGAAGACUCACAGGAACAUACCACAGCAUUCUUGCGCAUCAGUGUUUAUUGAGGCAUGUUCCACAACACUGAAGCCACAGAGGCACCUUGUUAUCUAUCAACAGAGGAGUAGGUGAACAAAAUGUGGUUUCUAUGUGCAGUAGCCAUCUUUCAGACACGAAGAAUAAUAAACUUAUGUUAUCUUUCA